UACGGAGGAGGCAAGCGUUAUCCGGAAUUAUUGGGCGUAAAGCGUCCGCAGGUGGCUAUUCAAGUCUGCGGUCAAAGACUGAGGCUUAACCCUGGAAAGGCCGUGGAAACUGAAGAGCUAGAGUGCAGUAGGGGUAGAGGGAAUUCCCGGUGUAGCGGUGAAAUGCGUAGAGCUCGGGAAGAACAUCGGUGGCGAAAGCGCUCUGCUGGACUGCAACUGACACUCAGGGACGAAAGCUAGGGGAGCGAAUGGG
rnacentral:rRNA from 1 species